rnacentral:rRNA from 1 species
ACACGUGGGCAAUCUGCCCUUCACUCUGGGACAAGCCCUGGAAACGGGGUCUAAUACCGGAUAACACUCUGUCCCGCAUGGGACGGGGUUAAAAGCUCCGGCGGUGAAGGAUGAGCCCGCGGCCUAUCAGCUUGUUGGUGGGGUAAUGGCCUACCAAGGCGACGACGGGUAGCCGGCCUGAGAGGGCGACCGGCCACACUGGGACUGAGACACGGCCCAGACUCCUACGGGAGGCAGCAGUGGGGAAUAUUGCACAAUGGGCGAAAGCCUGAUGCAGCGACGCCGCGUGAGGGAUGACGGCCUUCGGGUUGUAAACCUCUUUCAGCAGGGAAGAAGCGAAAGUGACGGUACCUGCAGAAGAAGCGCCGGCUAACUACGUGCCAGCAGCCGCGGUAAUACGUAGGGCGCAAGCGUUGUCCGGAAUUAUUGGGCGUAAAGAGCUCGUAGGCGGCUUGUCACGUCGGAUGUGAAAGCCCGGGG